rnacentral:rRNA from 1 species
UACGGAGGAUCCAAGCGUUUGUCCGGAUUUAUUGGGUUUAAAGGGUGCGUAGGCGGAUAAUUAAGUCAGUGGUGAAAUCUUGCGGCUCAACCGUAAAAUUGCCAUUGAAACUGAUUAUCUUGAGUACAGUUGAGGUGGGCGGAAUGUAUCAUGUAGCGGUGAAAUGCUUAGAUAUGAUACAGAACACCUAUUGCGAAAAGCAGCUCACUAAACUGCAACUGACGCUGAGGCACGAAAGCGUGGGGAUCAAACAGG